UACGUAGGGUGCAAGCGUUGUCCGGAAUUAUUGGGCGUAAAGGGCUCGUAGGCGGUCUGUCACGUCGGGGGUGAAAACUCAGGGCUUAACCCUGAGCCUGCUUCCGAUACGGGCAGACUAGAGGUAUGCAGGGGAGAACGGAAUUCCUGGUGUAGCGGUGAAAUGCGCAGAUAUCAGGAGGAACACCGGUGGCGAAGGCGGUUCUCUGGGCAUUACCUGACGCUGAGGAGCGAAAGUGUGGGGAGCGAACAGG
rnacentral:rRNA from 1 species